rnacentral:rRNA from 1 species
UUUCAGUAGUGACCUGCGGAGGAUCAUUAACGAAUCAAACAAGUUCAUCUUGUUCUGAUCCUGUGCACCUUAUGUAGUCCCAAAGCCUUCACGGGUGGCGGUUGACUACGUCUACCUCACACCUUAAAGUAUGUUAACGAAUGUAAUCAUGGUCUUGACAGACCCUAAAAAGUUAAUACAACUUUCGACAACGGAUCUCUUGGCUCUCGCAUCGAUGAAGAACGCAGCGAAAUGCGAUAAGUAAUGUGAAUUGCAGAAUUCAGUGAAUCAUCGAAUCUUUGAACGCACCUUGCGCCCUUUGGUAUUCCGAGGGGCAUGCCUGUUUGAGUGUCAUUAAAUACCAUCAACCCCUCUUUUGACUUCGGCCCCAAAAGGGGUUGGAAAUGGAAGGCCGGCGGAACCCAAAGGAACCCGGUUCCCCUUAAUUAAAUAAGCGAAUUUCCCUGGCGGAACCCCGCCCCCAAGGGGAUAAUUUCAACUCCUUUAACCAUCUCGGGCCUAACCUGGGCCAGUUUCAUAAGAAUUCGGCUUCAAACCGCCUCUGGAUGGAGACAAGCAACUUGGGCGCUAACUUUUGACUUGACUUCAAAUCAGGUAGGACUACCGGCUGACCUAGACAAAAAAAAAGGGGAGUA